ACAGCCAACUCACAUGCCAGCAUUCUCAGCCCUGACCUACCCUGCACCGUGCAAACACUGCCUGCAAUCACAGACAUUUGCACUUGAAGGCAGAAUUUAGCCUGCAAGAUGAACUGCAAAGUCGAAAAUGUUUACAAAAAUCCCUCAUCAGGCAUAAUUUAAAGUAGCAAGGAAUGAUUUUCAGUUCCAAGCUAGUCAGGAUUUUUGCUUGCUAAUUUCUGUUGGUAAAACCUGAAGCCAAACUGGCACUUCAGCCAUUAGACACAUUGAAAACUAUUGGGCAAGUGCACUUGAUUUAAAGUAACAACCAGGAAACUAGUGACACACAAAAUAAAAAAAUGCAUUUUAAUAUUUGCACUUUUUUCCUUUAGAUUAGUUGUCUGUAGUUGCUAAUCUUCAAAAAUGUUAUCCAAUUUAACCAUGUCAUUAUAUUAAAUAUACAUACCUAAUUAUUUAAGUAAUUAAAUAUCACCAAGCCUGGGUUCAAUACUUCCAUUUCCAUUUGGAAGACUUCCUAAAGCUAAACAUCAUUUCCAUUUGUAUUCUGUUUUAAUGGGAUGGGCACUAGAAUUCAACUGAAAAAUAAACAAAAUAAAUGUCUACUAAUUAAAAUUGAACUAUGGCUUGGAAGUGAAUUGGAAAUGUGGAUUUUCUACAAUACUAGUUUCAUGUAUGUUCCUGUGCUUAUAUAUUUUUCUUAUAAUUUCUUCAGUUCUUAUUAGUUUCUGAAAUUUGUACAAGACGUUGAGGUGAACAAUCUUUAUAACUGUUCAAGGAAAAGCUAUUGCUGCAAAUAUUGUAUAUAAAAAUAUUAUUAAAAAGUAGACAUCUUUUCUAAGGUUUGUCAUGUUGGAAGGGGUUGUAUUUUUAAAAUUUGUUGCUAUUAAACAAUACAAAUUUCACAUUCCACUAGGUAUUUAAUUAUUUAAUCCUUGAUGUUGUGCUGGAAAAAUGAAGCAAAACAUCUAUAACAACUAUUGAUAACACUCCGUUGUGACAAUAGGAUGGUUUGUAACUUUCCCUUUUUCCUUGAUUGCAACUCAGAAUCAUAGACUGGACUAAUUUCAUCACAGGAAACUCCAGCUUAUUAUCUGUUUGCAUCUGGCAUAAAAUCAGCUUUAUUAUAGUACAAAAAAUGAAACACCUCAGCAUUCUGAGUGCUUGAAUAAGACUGCCUUUGUGAGAACUAUGUAGCCUUACACAAAUUAUUUAUUUGGCCUGACAGCAGUUCAGGCUUCUUGCAUAAAAUUAACUUUGAAAGAUCAUGUGAUGCUCAUGUGAUUUAGGUAGUGAAUCCUCAGUUUCUUGAAGAAAUAUUACUGAAUAUGCCAGGUGUAACAUUUAAAUUAGCCAUUGUUCUUGCUGGAAGUCCAAGACUGUCAGUACCUCUGUACCAGCAGAGCUGGAUACAAUAUUCCAAACCUCUGUUAACUUCAACACAGUGAGCUGAGAAACCACUUACAGUAUGUUUUAAAAAAUGAAGACCUCCACCAAAAUGCAGCCAUGCCUCUGAGAAAAUGACCCUCUUCAGGGUAAGCUAACAAAACAGUAAGAAUGCACAUGUAUUUCAGAGCAACUGCUCUUAUGUACUCUUCAUGUGCAGAAACCAGAGUCCAAGCAUAAUUCAGGAAAUAAAGGUGACUCAUGUGCAGUCCAUGUACCCUCAACAUAUCCUCCACCGUGUUGUUUUCACUGACUGCAUUGGAACCACUCAGUUAGUUUCACUCACCUUAAUGCACAUUGGAGUCGUUUUUCAAAGAGAGCUUACCAUUUCUCUAUACUAGAACUGCUAGAUAUAAAUUUCUGAUUCUCACCCUGAGCUUUUGAAGUGAUUUGCACCUGAAGACUGAUCUAUUUCCUGCAUCCUUUCCUAUGAUAUUUUGCAUAGAAGAUCUGCUUCAAGGGGAUGUUGCUAACUGGUUAAACAAACAGAAGUUGUACACGCCUUAAUCUAAAAUUUAAAAAAUUAUGCAAGCUUUAUGUAUUAUUCAUGGUAUGGUUUUGCCUAAAGCUGAUGCAAAUCAUAACCCUAUUCCCACAGUAACAUAGAUUAGCUGUAAAGCACUACAAAUAACUUCUAACUUCCCUCCAAAUCCAGUCUGCUAGGAGUUGGACAAGCAUGGAUCCAUCCGAUUAGUUACAUGCUUAUUUAGCUGGCAUCAAUGUAUUUUAAGGUACCUAAAUUUAUGUGCCUUCAUAUUCAAAGACAUUGGCUCAACUAAUUUUUUGUAGUUAAUGAACAUGUAAUCUGUCAUACAGCUUACUUAUAACUGAUGGGGAAAAAAAAAACCCAAACAUUUAAAAUACAUUAAAAUUUAGAAUAUGCCUCUCCUACAUCUCUGGUAUCACCAGUAAGGAGAGCGCUAUGUACAUCUACAUUCACUUCUGAUUAGCCAAUGAAGCUGAGGAGAAAUCUGCUGCAGAACAAGAAAACCACUUUCAUAAAUCGGGCAUACCACAUUGAAUCUUAUACAUGAUAUCUCUGAGUAGUUAAUGAAUAAUGAAGUAAGCAUAAAAAUGGUUUUCCUUCACAUAUUUGUUCAGGAAUAGAAAACUGAUACAGUGAGUUGGCAUUCUUCACCCCACAAUCUUAAAUCACGCUAAACAAUCCUUUAAAGAUCACUGUGAAGUGUUGUUUUAAAAAUAUUAAGUUAUUUAAGUUUGUAAUUUUCUAGUAGACACUCCUUAUAUUGCUGUCUUUCAGCACUAACAUAUAAGCUGAUUGUCUCAUGCUGAAACCCUGUUAUCUAGUUUAAUUUUAAGUAUUCCAGUUUAGUAAACUAAUCUAGUCUAAUUCAACUUAAGCUAGUCAAAUACCUUAUACAAAUCAACAAAAACACUUGCUUUUUUUUAUAAAUGGAUUUUAAUUUUCCCUAACACCUCAACUUUUUUCUCCAAAACAGCAAACUACACUGGAAGUCAAUAAGCAGUUCACCUGCACUUGCACCUUAUACAAUGUUCCCUAACACUUUGCUAAACCUCUGAGUUUUUCACACUAAAAUUUUCACAUUAGAGAUGCCAGCCAUUUUUGAUUGUCAAAAAGUAUAAUUCUUUUAAAGAACUGAAAAUCAUACCUCUCUCAAGGUCAGAGUACGUGUGAUUUGCUGUAUAAAUGUAUAGUAAUUUUUUAGGAAUUGAAGUGAUCUAUAGAUUUGAAACUCACCUUUCAAACUUGUAGAUAAUAUUAGAGACAACCCUGAAACAUGGAAAGUAUAAAUCUAGAUUAUAUCAUCCAGAAGACUGUGACCCUGCCAGAACACAACAGGGCAGUAGCAAUCAGUCAUAAUUUUCCAUACCAAAUCCAAAGCAAAGUAUUAAAAUAUCAUUUAGUCAUUGCAAAUGGCAUUCCACUGCUAAGCGUUCAGAGAUUUAUUACCUUCUUGUAAGCACACCUAAUACACAGCCCAUGCAUCCUUGGCCUGUCAAGGAACACUUUUAAAAACCUCUUUCUUGUUCAGUUAAUUUUGAAGUAUGAAACAGCUCAUGCUUCAAUAACACACUUUGUUUCCUAAAAUCAUAUUCUUACUACAAAUAAUCAUUAUUCCUCCUAACUCCAAAGCAUACUAAAGUAUAAUAAAUGAAGAUAUUAUUUCAUUAUUAUUAUUAUUAUUAUACAUUAUCCCAAUAUCAUAUCCUCUAGCCUGCCAAAUGCCAUUCUGCUCCACUGGUAUCUUUCCAAAAAAUCACACAAAGAUUUUUUCCAUAGUCUCCUUCUUCAGCAUAUUCCUUUUUGUAGUCGAAUUUCCUGGUUCUCAUGGGGAACUUCAGCCACUCUAAUGUCUGUUGUAGGAACAGCACAGCAAAGCACAAACAGUCCAAGUGGAAAGCAUUUCCAUUGUGGAAAGCAUUGAUGACAAUUUUCUGCUACCAGGGAUGGAAGGGCCAACCAGAAAAGCUGGGCUGUUGGACCUUAAACUAUAUAAUAAGGAAGGCCUGUUGCGGAUGUGAGGACUGUAGCAACCUUCCUUACAGUGAUCACAAGAUCAUGGAAUUCUGUAUUACUUGAGAAGGAAACAGCCCAGGGCUUCAGGAGAGUUAACUUCAGUCUCUUCGGGGACCUGCUUUGAAGAAUUUCAUGUGAACAUGCUCUACAGGAAGAAGGAUCCUAGAGCAUUCAGUGAUCACUUCAUCUAGGCUCAAGACCAGUGCAUGAUGAGCAAGGAAUUCCUGUCAAAACUCAAACACAGGCAGGAGACAUAAAGUAGGUGAAAACAGGGACAGGUCACCUGGGCCAAUUACUGUGAUGUCAUCAGAGUAUGUAAAAAUGCAACAAGGAGGCCAAGGCCCAUUUGGAAUUAAUCUGGCCAAGAACAUCCAGGAUAACAAGAAGGUCUUUUUCCAAUACAUCAAGAACAAAAAGGAAAAUAUGAGCCUAGCUCUGUGUGGAACAAGAACCUUUGCAACAGAGGCUGCAGAGAACGCAGAGGUACCGAAUGCCGCCUUGGCUUCAGUCUUCAGUGACAAGACCAGCCCUCCAGAAUCCCUGACCCAGGAACAAGGUCUGGAGGAAGAAAGACUUUCCCUUGGUUGAGGGAACAAGGUCUGGAGGAAGAAAGACUUUCCCUUGGUUGAGGAAGAUUGGCUUAGAGAUUGCUUAGGUAAACCUGAUACCCACAAUUCCAUGGGCCCUGAUGGAAAUGAUGGGAGUCCCACAAAUGCUUGAUGGAGCUGGCAGACACUGUAGCUGGGCUAUUCACAAUCAUCUUUGAAAAAUUGUGGUGAUCAGGAGAGGUGCCUGAGGACUGGAAGAAAGCAAAUGUCACUUUGGUCUUCAAAAUGGGCAAAAAGGGGGAUCCAGGGUACCACUGGACGGUCAGCUUCACCUCCAUGCCUGGAAAGGUGAUGGAAUGGCUCAUCCUGGAUACCAUCUCUGGGCAUGUGAAAGACAAGAAGGUAAUAAGGAGUACUGAGCAUGGAUUCACUAAAAGAAAGUCAUGCUUAACCAAACUGAUUACCUUCUAUAAUGGGACUGUUGGCUGGAUGGAUGAGGGGAGAGUGGUGGAUGUUGUUUACCUGAUACCAUAAAAGGCAAAGUCAGGAAUACCAUCUUGAUGAGUGGAUGUGGUGUUGGAUCGAGAACCAGCUAUUGCAGAUCCCAGAAGGUGACACAGUGACAGUGAUGCAGGCUCUGGUUGGAGGCCUGAUGCAAGCGGUGCCCCCAAGGCUCAAUACUGAGCCCAGUGAUUAGGACAAAGAGACAGAGGCCUCCUCAGCUGGUCACUGACAGCACAAAGCUGGGAGCAGAGUGCAGCCUUAAAAGGAUGGAGAGAUGGGAAGAGAAGAACUGUCUGAAAUUUGACAGGAGCAAAUGCAGUGUCCUGCACUGGAGAAGCAUAACCCCAGACACCAGCCAGAAAGCAGCUCUGAGGAAAAGGACCUGGUGUUCCUGGUGGACAACAAACUGUUCAUGAGCCAGCAGUGUGUUCUGGUGGCCAAGGAGGCCAAUGUUGUCCCGGGGUGCAUUAAGAAGAGCAUUGCCAGCAGGUCAAGGGAGGUGAUCCACUCUGCUCAGCCCUGGUGAGGCACAUCUGGAGUCCUGUGUCCAGGUGCCAGAGAGACAUGGAGGUCCUGGAGCAAGUUCACUGGUGGGCCACAAACGUGAUUAUCUACAGAUAACCUUCACACACCUGUUCCCUGUUGUAGCUCAGCCUAUCAGGUGCACAUCAGGACCCUCUCACUUAAGGCCUCCUUGUCUCCUUCCUCAUGAGUGAGAGAGGAUAACAAUCAGCUGUUCUUCUUAGCUCCCACAGUACAAUUUUUAAUCUUCCAAAACAAGGAGCAGCAUUUCCUUCCAUGUCAGACCUUUUGCAGAAAAAAACUAUAUGCAAAACACAUUUCAUUACCAUGUUCCAAUCCCCUAUUUUCUUGGCAAAGAUGGCAAUAUGCAGAGACCACCACACCACAGUGUCCUUUGUCAUUUCUUCAUCUACUGGUGCCCAUCUAGGUAACAGUCUCAAUUUAAAGACUUGAGCUCAAAACCCUGGCUCAGAAAAUAACUCAGUUUCAUUUGAUGAUUCAAGAAUUAUUGCCUGCCUUUGUGAACACUGUCCAAUCAAACUUAUUAACAUGUAUUGGCAAAAUACAUGAUAAUACAUACAUACAGACUACUAUGUUUUCCCUCCCAUUUGUCAUGAACCAAGAGCACAUACAGAUUCAAGUACAACUUCUCAUCUAAACGGCAGCAAGCUGUUUGAUUUAUAUAUAUAUAAUAUACUAUUCCACUCUGUCUGUGCUCUUAGACAUGACGAAGAAGUGCAUCUUACUUAGUGUUUGCAUAGCAAAAUGGGGUUCUUAUCCAUGCCUUAGGCUCUAUGGCACUAUUGUGAAAAUGCGAUAAUGCAGUAAACACUGGUGUCACUGCCCAUGGAAAUGCACUCCACAUAUUUCAUUGUUUCAAGCUGUCAUUUGCAUGCUGGCCCUCAGCUGCUUGCAUUCAUUAGAUAUGAAGAGAGAUGCUUCAGACACAACUGAAGCAUCUGAGUGUUAGUUGUCUGGUGUGGCUUUUUUAAAUUACAGAAAUGAAAUAACAGAUAUUCUUAAUGAAAGUUGCUCAAACUUUCACAACAUACAUUUUUAGUUUAAAAAUGGCAAAUCCUGCAAAAAUAAAAUUGUAAUAUGUUAGAGAAAACAAAUUAUUAGUAUGGAGGAAAAUUAUUUUCAACCUCUUCUGCAAAAAAAAAAAAAAAAAAAAAAAAGAAAAGAGUAGACUGAUAAUCUGUGAGAAUUCUGGCACUGAGGAACUAUGGGCUCUGAAAGAACAUGAUUCUGCUUUCACCAAAUUAUAAGCUCCUGAGAGACAUAUGGUGUGAUUUCUGGAAAUUCUGAAUGCUACCUGUGCUGUGCUCUCCAUUUGUAUUCCCGAACGGUUGUCCUGUAAACAAUAUCAAAAAAUAGAGUACUUCAGAUGAUCUGGUGUGCCUGAGGUCUGGAAGUAACACUGCUGCACACAAGGUCAUGAAUGGCAAAGAUACAGGAAAGCUUAAUGCUUAACAUUCCUCAGGGACACAAUAUCUACCCUGCACAGCACAAAAGAAAAUUUUUCAAUUAAACCCCACCAACUCUGGAGCAGUGAUUAUGUAGAAACAGCCCGCAUGUCUACUUCUCUCCUGAGCACUUCAGGGGGACACAAUGACCUUGCAAUCCUGGGGUAUUACAGAUACACUGUGAUCAAUGCAAGCUUCAUCCCCUCUCUCUGCAAAAGGGGAGAGGCUCAGAAGGCAGACCCUGAAUAAGAAUGGUAACUCAUUUUUCCACACUACUCAUAGCAAAGCACAUUCUCAUUCAUGAGCUCUGCAGAAAACAGGUUCCAGUGCAGUGCAAAACACUCUAUCCCACACAGUCACCUGAGGAACUAAAUGUUUCUUUUGAAAUACAAAUCUCAGAGAGCAUAUUCCCACAUGAAUGUAUCCACAUGUAUAGAGGGGAGAGCAUUCUAUCUCAUAUUUUUGAAUUUUACAGUCAUUCUUGCAGAACUGAGUAAGUGCUUCAAAUUAAACAGGCGUUAAAACCUCUCUCCCAACAGCAGAUUUUAUCUUUAAAACCUCCUUUAAUCCUUAAAGUCUACACCUAGACUUUAGGGGAUGAAUAGUCCCACUAAAACCACAAAAUUCAUGGGAGGCAUCCUUUAUUUCCCUGAGGGACUGGACCACCUCAGUCAGCCCACUUCCCAGGCACAGCCCUGGCAAUGACCCUGGGUAAAUGCAGCCCCACUUCAGGCAUUCUGCAAUCUCAUAUUGUAUGCCCAUAAAACUGAGCUCAAAUACUGCCCCGUUCAGCUAAACAUCCUAUUGUUCAUGUCCAAUUUUUCACCAACUACUACUGCUGUGUCCUAAAUGCCAAAUGCUUCAUCAAAUCUCCAGACCAAGACCAAGGCAGAUGGAAAGCCACAGGCUUUUUGUACUCCACACACUCUCAUACCCUUUCAGGAUAAAGGAAGUCACUCAACAUUCAACUUUACCACUAUAUCUUGCAACAUUUUACUAAUUGCCUCACUGUCAGAGAACUCUUCCAGAAUUUGCUUAAUCAAAUCCUCACACCAGCUAAGCCAGGGGAUGCUCCCAGUGCACAAAAGUCAGAGUAGUAAAUAUUUUUCAUUUGCUUAACAGAAAGCAUGUUCCAUGCCAAAUCUGUAGCUGUAGUCCACAUCCCUUUUGUAGCCUUCAAUGUUUCUGGUCUCCCUAUACAAUGAACAAAGUUUGGCUACUAGCAUAUACUCUUUUUUACAUUUGGGCCACUAAUAAGGUGAAAGAUGUCAUCAACAUUACAGCAGAUCUGGCACCAGUUAAAGCAAAUCUACGUAGAUGAAGGAGCAAUCAUUAAGGCUUUACAGACACGCUUUCCUCCAGAGUGUCUAAAAUCCUCCCCACAUGCCCUCAAGUGCUGGAGUUCAUUUUGAUCUCCGAUGUAGCUGAAAGAUGUGCAAAAGCAGGCACAACAUUAACCACAGACAAAGUGCUUAAGAAGGCAUUGUUUUGUUUAUUCCAGUGAGUGCAUAAAAUAUCUAGCAUUCAUGAAUUGUGUCAGAAUGAUGUUUACUUUGAACAGAAAUAUACAAUUAUCUUGUUCAUAAAGCAGAAACCCUUCUCUCAGCAAGACAACUCAACUCAUGGUAUUUCUGCAAAGAAAUGCUGCUACAAGAAUCCCACUGAACCUUUGUGAGGAUAGUACUUUCCCUUUUAUUUCCCUUCUUUCUUAAACAUAUAUUUAGCUGAUCUAUUUCAGGAAUGCAUAGGCAAAUCUUCACCAUUCAAAAUGAGAAAAACAAUAUCCUGUAGAAGCAGAUUCAACUUUAAUUACAAAGCAAUAUCAAAUUUGUACAGACACAAUAGGAAAACAGAAUUUGUUAAACUGGCUUCCCCAUGGAUUCAUAAUCUUCCUGUACCAUCCAGUCUGCAGGAUAAAACACUCAGAAUCCUCCAGCAAACGUUUUGGUUACUGUGUAAGCAGGAAAUCCUCUGGAGAUGGAGAAGGCAGAGAGAGGUUAGAAAAUGCAAUUUCUUCUGCAUUUCUCAGAGAAGUGCCAAACAUUAUGUAGGGCACAAACCAGCUCUGCAUGUUCAUCACAAUCACAGCUCUUGUCUUUGAGUACUGUAAAGUCAGUGAAUCAGGAAUUUCAGGAAGAAUUUACAUGUCACUGUGCCUACCUGCUUGUUCUUUAAAAAACCAGAAACUAGGAGAGCAGUUUAAAACUCACUUUGAUGCAGUGAAGAGAACAAAGAAGUUCUUUUCUCAACAGAUUACCUUUGUGACCAAGUGUGAAAACAUAGAGUUUUGCUUCAAGGGAAAGAGGUUAAUAAAAAUUAUAUUUGUGAUAUUGAGACAGGCAGCAGGGGAAUCACAGAACUGUCUCUGAGGCCAGAGAGGAGCGAGGGCUUCACCAGCAAAACCAAUAACCUGCUUGUGAAUCAAGAAUAAUACAUUACUUCUUGGGCCACACCUGUCAACACCUGGUAGAAUUUUAAUUGUUCUUGGAAUACGACCAAAGUACAGCUUGGCUAAGUAGAAGAAGGACAUCAAAAUAAUAUUUGGAAUCGGUGCCCUCAAAAUUACCAAAAGCUCCUCCUGCAAAGGGUGGGGAGAAGAAGAAAGAAGGCAAAGGCAACUAAAUCCACAUCUGCAUCUUCCCUCUAGUCUUCUAAACAAUAAAAGAUAAAGCUUUUAAAAGCAGGCUAAUGGAAAGACAUCAAAUGCAAGUACUUCCAUCAUCAGAAUGCAGACUAUUAAUGGAAAAUCUAAAUGGAAAAUACAACCUUCUUACAGGUUUUGGAUUGCAAUGGUAGUUCUGACCACAAAGAAACAAGAGCAUUCACAGAGUAAAAAUAGAGCAGUGAAAAAGCAGAUGUUGGAGCUUUUCAGGACAUUCAGUUUGUGUCUAUUUUUUCAGAACAGAGGUAUCCACUGAACCACUUCUGACUCAUGAAAGAAAACUAUGUACCAUUUCCUGGACAUGGUGUGGUAAAUAAAUUCUAGAGUGAACACAUGUGCACACACAAAAAAAGAAAGACUAAAAUAUAUGAAUAUUCAUACCAAAUAAUAUAUUAGAAGUGCUGACUUAUUACAGGAAGAAUAUGGGAUGUUUAGUUGUCAAAAAUUAUUUGUUUCCUCAUGCUUUGUGAAAGCACCUGCAGGACCUAGAAACUUUUCCACUAUUUCUGAACCACCCUGGUAUCAUUCAGGAUUUCACAUGACAGUGCAAAUAAAAAUAAUGGGCAAAAAUCUGUACUAUAAAUACUGUAAGUUUUUAACAGUAAGGUUUUUUUAAUCUCAAUUUAAAAAUGCAUAAAUACCAUUGAAGCUUUGGAAAAGAUAUUUUAAAAAUGUGAUUUGGAUUGAGAGGGAUCAGCCAAGAAGACCAUGAAAGAUACGAUUUUUUUAAAAUCAAUUAAAAUAAAUUAAACUUUUAAGAAUAACCUAGUUAAUGAGCAAGAAGGUGUGGAAAUUGAAGUUUUUCAGGUACAACAUAAUUAUUGCAAAUCCUGUUUAAUAUAAAAGAAUUGCAAACAAUCCCCAUAGAGACAGCUGGGAUAUUAUAAAAGCCUUAGAACUGUACAGACUUUUAUAGGAAAACUAUAGGGUGUGCACAAACACACAGAUAUACACAUUACCCUAUGCAGAGAGUAUGUUACAAGAGCAACAAAAUAUAAGCGAGUCAAGAUAAUUCACAGAGCAAAUAAAUUCCAAAAGAUUACCCAAACAAACAAGCCAACCAAACAAAUAAAACAACAAAAAAAUCCCAACAAAACCAAACCAAACAAAAGAAACCCAAAAAACCAAAAUAAGAACACCCCCCCCCCAAAAAAAAAAAAGCAGAAAAACAAUCUCUGUUCAAAAUAUUGCAAGGAACUUCUAGCCAUCCCUGUCCAAAGACUAACUCCAGAUCAUUUUCAUCAAAACAAUUAUCCAAAAAAGUACUUUGGGGUGAAAAAAGCCAAUGGGACACAAGUAAAAAAUUAUUUACAGAACCUAUAACAAUUCUUUAAAUAGUUUCUGUGAAAUAAUUACAGGAAUUAGCAAACUGUGGAAUUGUUUAUCAACCAAUCUAGGUUUCUGUUUCCAAGACAGUACAAUGCCCCCCACUUCCAAACAAAAAGUAGAAAUCAUAGCCUGGAAGUGCCACAAAGAGAACCUGUGAAAAGGACUGAAAACAGUCUGGUGGACUGAAGAAACAGGUAAUGAAAAGGAAGUGUGAUUGUCAAGUCAGAAACUGGCCUCAGAAAGAGGGUCUGUGUUUAGGCACAGAUUUGAUAUCUUUACCCACUACAGAGAAGGCAAUAAGCUGGGAGUUGCUGAAAGGCAGGAGUAGCAAUCAAAACCAUUGUGGUCACAGAGAAGAACUGUAAUUCCUACUUCCCCCUCCUCCCCACUCCAAGCCAGCCUUCUGUAGUUCUUCCUACACUCACAAGAUGAAUGAGCCUCUAACAGAGUCAGGAGAGAGCAAGUUAUUUACACAAACCUAGCUGAAACAGAACUCAUCCCUUGACACCUGAAAGCAAAUGUGAAUAUAAAACAAGGAGAGGAACAUAUUAGAUUAGUAAAAAUUACCUCAGUGGUUGUGAUUGUAAAUUUAAAAUCUAUGUGUUCUUUCACUGGAAGGAAUUUCUAUAUAACAGAAUGAAGCAAAAGUACAGGUGCAAAAGCUGGUAA